rnacentral:rRNA from 1 species
CAUGUCUUGUAAUUGGAAUGAGUAGACUUUAAAUCCCUUUACGAGUACCAAUUGGAGGGCAAGUCUGGUGCCAGCAGCCGCGGUAAUUCCAGCUCCAAUAGCGUAUAUUAAAGUUGUUGCGGUUAAAAAGCUCGUAGUUGGAUUUCUGCUGAGGACGACCGGUCCGCCCUCUGGGUGAGCAUCUGGCUUGGCCUUGGCAUCUUCUUGGAGAACGUAGCUGCACUUGACUGUGUGGUGCGGUAUCCAGGACUUUUACCUUGAGAAAAUUAGAGUGUUUCAGGCAGGCUAGGCCGGAAUACAUUAGCAUGGAAUAAUGGAAUAGGACUACGGUCUCUUUGUUGGUUUGAGGGACUGCAGUAAUGAUUAAUAGGGAUAGUUGGGGGCAUUAGUAUUUAAUUGUCAGAGGUGGAAUUCGCAGAUUUGCUAAAGACUAACUUAUGCGAAAGCAUUUGCCAAGGAUGUUUUCAUUAAUCAAGAACGAAAGUUAGGGGAUCAAAGACGAUCAGAUACCGUCCUAGUCUUAACCAUAAACUAUGCCGACUCGGGAUCG